CUUCCGCCGGCGACCGGCGCACGGGUGAGUAACACGUAUGCAACCUGCCCCUGUCAGGGGGACAACCCGCCGAAAGGCGGGCUAAACCCGCGUACAUGCCACCGGGGCAUCCCGGAGGCAGGAAAGGCUUCGGCCGGACAGGGAUGGGCAUGCGGCGCAUUAGGCAGUAGGCGGGGUAACGGCCCACCUAACCGACGAUGCGUAGGGGUUCUGAGAGGAAGGUCCACCACACUGGUACUGAGACACGGACCAGACUCCUACGGAAGGCAGCAG
rnacentral:rRNA from 1 species